rnacentral:rRNA from 1 species
AUUUCCUACGGGGGGCAGCAGUGGGGAAUAUUGCACAAUGGGGGAAACCCUGAUGCAGCAACGCCGCGUGAGUGAAGAAGUCAUUCGUGAUGUAAAGCUCUAUCAGCAGGGAAGAAAAUGACGGUACCUGAGUAAGAAGCCCCGGCUAACUACGUGCCAGCAGCCGCGGUAAUACGUAGGGGGCAAGCGUUAUCCGGAAUGAUUGGGCGUAAAGGGUGCGUAGGCGGCCUGCUAAGUCUGGAGUGAAAGGUA